AUGGGCUCCUCCUCCUACCUCCCCCACGACAUGGAUUUCUCCCCCUACCUCCCCGCCGACAUGGGCUCCCCCACCGCCGACGACCCCUCCCUCAACCUCUACCUCUCCGACCUCAUCCCCGGCUCGCCCUCCGAAUACCUCGACCUCCCCCUGACCCCGCACCACGAGCAGGAGCACCAGAAACCCUCCCCCGACGGCCACGGCGGCGGGGGCGGCGGCGGCGGCGGCGGCGACUCCCCCUCCUCCACGCCGGAGGACCUCGUGCUGCCCUUCAUCUCCCGCAUACUCAUGGAGGAGGACAUCGACGACAAGUUCUUCUACGACUUCCCCGACAACCCCGCGCUCAUCGAGGCGCAGCAGCCCUUCCUCGAGAUCCUCUCCGAUCCCUCCUCCAACUCCACCUCCGACGACAGCAACAACCGCGCCGUCUCCCCGUGCUCCCCCUCCGACGCCUCCGUCGGCACCGCCGCCCAGCUGCCCCCCACGCCCGCCGCCGUUGACUCCUACGACCGCUUCCAGUUCGAGCCCGUCGACCUCGAUCCCGCCGCCUUCUUCGGCGGCGGCGCCAACUCCGACCUCAUGAGCUCCGCCUUCCUCAAGGGGAUGCAGGAGGCCAACAAGUUCCUGCCCAGUCAGGACAAGCUCGUCAUCGACCUGGAGGCCUCCUCUGGCCAGUUCUUCAAGGGCGUCGAGGAGGGCAACAAGUUCCUGCCCAGGGAGGACAAACUCGUUGUUGGAUUCAAUGGCCACGCAGCUCCUGCGUCGGCCCCAGCUGUGCUCAGCCUGAAAAAGGAGGAGGUGGUGGAUGCGGUCUCGGCCAACUCUGGUGGCGGCCGAGGUCGGAAGAACCCCUACCAUGAUGACGAGCUGGAGCAGGAGGGUGGCAGGAGCAGCAAGCAGAGUGCGCUGGGAGACGACGUCUCUGCACGGGAGAUGUUCGACAGGAUGCUGAUGCCCUCAGACGAGAUGUGCAUCGUGCAGAUGCAGAACCUGCGGAUCGCCAUGCAGGAGGCGGUGGCCAAGAAUGAUGGCGGCGGUGGGAAGGGGGCCAAUGGCAAGGGGAGGGGCCGGCGUGGUGGUUCCGAUGUGGUGGACCUGCGCACGCUGCUCAUCCAUUGCGCGCAGGCUGUUGCCACGGAUGACCGCCGGAGCGCUACAGAGCUGCUGAAGCAGAUCAAGCUGCAUGCUCGCCCUGAUGGCGAUGGGACUCAGCGCCUCGCUCAUUGCUUUGCAGAGGGCCUGCAGGCGCGGCUGGCGGGCACAGGUGGCCUCGUACACCAGUCGCUCAUGGCAACACGCAUCUCAGCUGUGGACAUGCUCAAAGCUUACCAGCUGUACAUGGCAGCCAUCUGUUUCAAGAAGGUGUCUUUCCUAUUCUCAAAUAGUACAAUCUAUAAUGCCUCCUUGGGGAAGAAGAAGAUACAUAUCAUCGAUUAUGGUAUACAAUAUGGGUUCCAGUGGCCGUGCUUUCUGCGACGGAUAUCAACAAGGCCUGGAGGGCCGCCAGAUGUAAGGAUCACUGGUAUCGAUCUCCCUCAGCCUGGGUUCCGGCCAAGAGAGCGGAUUGAAGAGACAGGGCGCAGGCUCAAGAAGUAUGCCAAUGAGUUUAAUGUGCCGUUCGAGUACCGGGCCAUCGCGACGGCAAAGAUGGAGUCGCUCCGCAAAGAGGAUUUGAAGAUUGAUCCUGAUGAGGUACUCAUUGUUAACUCCUUGUUUCAAUUCAAGAACUUGAUGGACGAGAGCGUUGUGCUUGAGAGCCCAAGGGAUGUUGUGCUCAAGAACAUCAGGAAGAUGCGGCCCCACACAUUCAUCCAUGCAAUCGUGAAUGGCUCAUUCAGUGCCCCAUUCUUCGUGACACGGUUUCGGGAGGUUCUGUUCUACUACUCAGCCCUUUUUGAUGUUCUGGACACAACCACCCCAAGGGAUAACGAACAGAGGAUGCUGAUUGAGCAGAACAUCCUUGGGCGUGCUGCCCUGAAUGUCAUUGCCUGUGAGGGUACAGAUAGGGUGGAGCGUCCUGAGACGUAUAAGCAAUGGCAGGUAAGGAAUCAACGGGCAGGUUUGAAGCUGCUGCCAUUGAAUCCAGAGGUCAUUGAGCUAGCGAGAGACAAGGUCAAGAACUGCUACCACAAGGACUUUGUGAUUGAUAUAGAUCAGCACUGGCUCUUGCAAGGAUGGAAAGGGCGCAUCCUCUAUGCCAUCUCGACAUGGACGGCAAACGAUGCUAGCUCAUAA
rnacentral:rRNA from 1 species